AGUUAAAUGGCCGUGCGGUCUAAGGCACUGGUUUAAGGCACCAGUCUUUUUGGAGGCGUAGGUUCGAAUGCCACUUUGAUCA
rnacentral:tRNA from 1 species